AAUAGAGAUAAGAUCAAAGGGGAACGACGAUCCAUGCUUGUGUGUCAGUAAGAUUUAGAAUUGAAAUCAUUCAUUGGGACCGUGUGUGUUGGGUGGGUUUUAUACAAGGGAGACUAGUCUUAGUAGUUUUUUGAGUUUCGUUUGCCGUUUGGUUUGCUCUCUCUGUGAUUAUUGAAUCUAAGAUUCUUCCUUCUAUAAAUGAUGAGUUUUUGGUUGUUGUUGAUAUCUGAUCAGAUUAUAUGUGAAAGGUGGAGACUUUGAUAAAAAAAAUUCGAGGCUCUUUUAAUAAUGAGUAUCUAAACGUGUUCAGACACUUGAAGCUUGUUGUGUGAUGUUCAUGUUGUUUGCAGUUUCUCGUGAUUUGAAUUGAAGAAAAGCCUGGAUGAAGAUCUUCAUUGAUCUUUGUUGUUUGAUUCUGUUGUUGGGUGGUAUCCCCCCGUAGUGUACCAUCAUUGAAUGUUGAAGAAGGUGCUCAAGCUAUACAGAUUGAGCAAAGCGUGGUCCUACCAAAUCAGGUAUCACGCACCCUUUACACUCUGUUUUGGACUUGCAGGUUUAAUCUUUUGUUUCUUCCCUUGUGUUGUACUUGAUUGAAGACAACGGAAGCUAAUCAAGCCGUUGAAGAACCAAGAGUUAUACACACUAGAUCUCGUUAGUCUAUCAAGACAUUCAGUUGAGGCCAGUUAAGCCAUUCGAAAUAAGGAUCAUCAAGACAUUUAGUUAGGCAAAGACCAUGGUCUAUAGGCACAAGCUCAGCAGCUCUAACUCCAUUGUAACAACAACUCUCAUUUUGGUUAUGUAUCUUCUUCACUAAAAAUUAUUUCAAAAAAAAAAUUAAUUUAAAGACCAA